rnacentral:pre_miRNA from 1 species
GAGACACCCCUAUGGAGCAGGACUUACUUCAGUGGGGCUUUGGUGUUCACUGAGUCUGCCCUUUGAGUGUGUCACU